UACGAAGGGUGCAAGCGUUAAUCGGAAUUACUGGGCGUAAAGGGUGCGUAGGCGGUUCGUUAAGUCUGUCGUGAAAUCCCCGGGCUCAACCUGGGAAUGGCGAUGGAUACUGGCGAGCUAGAGUGUGUCAGAGGAUGGUGGAAUUCCCGGUGUAGCGGUGAAAUGCGUAGAUAUCAAGAGGAACACCUGAGGUGAAGACGGGUUGCUGGGCCGACACUGACGCUGAGUGCGCGAAAGCCAGGGGAGCAAACGGG
rnacentral:rRNA from 1 species